UCCGGCCGAAUGUUUGUUAACUGUGUCAGCAUACCACAGAAGAUUCGAAAAUCGUUAUGCUAUCGACGGUGAAGUGUUUUGAUUGUUGUGUUUGAAAGUCAACCAGAUUAAAUAGAUUUCUUAUUAACGAGAUCAGCUAUGCCAGCUGUCAAAAACAAAGCCUGGCAGCAUAUUCUGGCUUUUGCGUUCAAUCAUGGGAUAAGAUUACUCAUUUAAAGCACUUUAUCCAUUCAUCAACUAUCAGUUCGGAUCUGGCAAAGGUGGCUUGUACCUCUGUGUCGUGUGGCCAACAAAAAUUACCACCGUUUCAGCAGUCUUCCUGCCAUUCCUACCUAACCAACCAACACACAUAGACAUUGACCCCAAAACCAUUUUCUUGUGAGCUAGGGCAUUUUCCUUUUCUGUCCCAUGCAAAAAGACUUUCAAGAUUCCGAUCUCUGUGUAUUAACUCUCUCAGGCCAUCUAAAAGUAACGCAAUGACAGCAAAAUGAAAAAAAGUGAUGGAAUGCCGAAUAGUAAAUAAGCAGCGGCCUGUAGGAGAUCAUCGUGGAACAUCGUGCAAAAGGUUGUUACAUGGCCCGUCUUCGCCUCGUGGUCGCGCCGUCUUUGCCUCGCCCGUCGACCCGUCUUCGCCUCGU